rnacentral:misc_RNA from 1 species
CCGAGUAAGGGGCCUACAAGGCCUCAGCUCCCACCCUUUGCGUACGUACUCUGUUGCUUUGGCGGGCCUCGGGGGGCUCACGCACCCCGCGCUGGCUCCGGCUGGCGUGUGCCCGCCAAGGGACCUCGAAACCCUUCUGUCGAUGCCGUCUGAGUUUUGGCUAAAUGUCGUA